UACGAAGGGGGCUAGCGUUGUUCGGAUUUACUGGGCGUAAAGCGCACGUAGGCGGAUCGUUAAGUCAGGGGUGAAAUCCUGGAGCUCAACUCCAGAACUGCCCUUGAUACUGGCGAUCUUGAGUCCGGAAGAGGUGAGUGGAACUCCUAGUGUAGAGGUGGAAUUCGUAGAUAUUAGGAAGAACACCAGUGGCGAAGGCGGCUCACUGGUCCGGUACUGACGCUGAGGUGCGAAAGCGUGGGGAGCAAACAGG
rnacentral:rRNA from 1 species